rnacentral:tRNA from 1 species
GCCGGAUUAGUGAAGUGGUAUAACGGCUGUUUCGUAAUCAGUUGUCAUCGGUUCGAUUCCGGUAUCCGGCACCA